rnacentral:rRNA from 1 species
AUUGAACGCUCGCGGCAGGCCUAACACAUGCAAGUCGAGCGGAUGAAGGGAGCUUGCUCCUGGAUUCAGCGGCGGACGGGUGAGUAAUGCCUAGGAAUCUGCCUGGUAGUGGGGGAUAACGUCCGGAAACGGGCGCUAAUACCGCAUACGUCCUGAGGGAGAAAGUGGGGGAUCUUCGGACCUCACGCUAUCAGAUGAGCCUAGGUCGGAUUAGCUAGUUGGUGGGGUAAAGGCCUACCAAGGCGACGAUCCGUAACUGGUCUGAGAGGAUGAUCAGUCACACUGGAACUGGGACACGUUCCAGACUCCUACGGGAGGCAGCAGUGGGGAAUAUUGGACAAUGGGCGAAAGCCUGAUCCAGCCAUGCCGCGUGUGUGAAGAAGGUCUUCGGAUUGUAAAGCACUUUAAGUUGGGAGGAAGGGCAGUAAGUUAAUACCUUGCUGUUUUGACGUUACCAACAGAAUAAGCACCGGCUAACUUCGUG